ensembl:misc_RNA Metazoa_SRP Metazoan signal recognition particle RNA
GCUGGGCAUGGUGGCACAUGCCUGUAGUCCCAGCUACUAGGGAGGCUGAGGUGGGAGGAUCACUUGAGCCUGGGAGGUCAAGGCUGCAAUGAGCCAUGAGCAGGCCACUGCACUCCAGCCUGGGCAACAGAGAGAGACCCUGUCUUUA